rnacentral:ncRNA from 1 species
GUUUAAUUCUAUACAGAGCGAAGAACCUAACCAGUGCUUGACAUGCCGCGAAUCCUCUUGAAAGAGAUGUGCCUUCGGGAACUCGGACACAGGUGGUGCAUAGUUGUCGUCAGCUCGUGCCAUUAGGUGUUGGGUUAAGUCCCACAAUGAGCGCAACCCUCGUGUUUAUUGGAACCCUGAAAAAACUGUCGGUGAUAAGCCGGAAGAAGGUGAGGAUGAUGAAUUUUUAACUGACCAUUAUUUUUAAUUCGAUUUCA